UACGUAGGUGACAAGCGUUGUCCGGAUUUACUGGGCGUAAAGAGCGCGCAGGCGGUCGUUCAAGUCGAGUGUGAAAGCCCCCGGCUCAACUGGGGAGGGUCACUCGAUACUGAUCGACUCGAAGGCAGGAGAGGGUAGUGGAAUUCCCGGUGUAGUGGUGAAAUGCGUAGAUAUCGGGAAGAACACCCGUGGCGAAGGCGGUUCUCUGGGACGGUACUGACGCUGAGACGCGAAAGCGUGGGGAGCGAACAGG
rnacentral:rRNA from 1 species